AACAGGAUUAGAUACCCUGGUAGUCCAUGCCGUAAACGAUGUCUACUAGCCGUUGGGGCCUUUGAGGCUUUAGUGGCGCAGCUAACGCGAUAAGUAGACCGCCUGGGGAGUACGGUCGCAAGACUAAAACUCAAAUGAAUUGACGGGGGCCCGCACAAGCGGUGGAGCAUGUGGUUUAAUUCGAUGCAACGCGAAGAACCUUACCUGGUCUUGACAUAGUAAGAACUUUCCAGAGAUGGAUUGGUGCCUUCGGGAACUUACAUACAGGUGCUGCAUGGCUGUCGUCAGCUCGCGUCGUGAGAUGUUGGGUUAAGUCCCGCAACGAGCGCAACCCUUUUCCUUAUUUGCCAGCACUUCGGGUGGGAACUUUAAGGAUACUGCCAGUGACAAACUGGAGGAAGGCGGGGACGACGUCAAGUCAUCAUGGCCCUUACGACCAGGGCUACACACGUGCUACAAUGGUCGGUACAAAGGGUUGCUACCUAGCGAUAGGAUGCUAAUCUCAAAAAGCCGAUCGUAGUCCGGAUUGGAGUCUGCAACUCGACUCCAUGAAGUCGGAAUCGCUAGUAAUCGCGGAUCAGAAUGCCGCGGUGAAUACGUUCCCGGGCCUUGUACACACCGCCCGUCACACCAUGGGAGUUUGUUGCACCAGAAGUAGGUAGUCUAACCGUAAGGAGGACGCUUACCACGGUGUGGCCGAUGACUGGGGUGAAGUCGUAACAAGGUAACC
rnacentral:rRNA from 1 species